GGGAUUGUUGGAGGUAUGCCCUAGAGGCAAUCAUAGAGAUGAUAGUAUUCCAUUUGUAUCCAUGAUUUAUAUUGUGUUCCUUGAAUAUCCAUUAAAGGCUACUUGAAUUGAUUUGCAAUUAUGUGAAUUGUGUGUGAAACUCUUUACUUGUAUGGUUAUUCUAAAGUUGUCCCUAGUCGGAGUUCAUGUGAGGACACACAUGAAUAUUAGACUAGCACAUGUAUUAGUUGAUGACUAUGUUUCACAAGUCAUGGACAUGGAGAUGUUGAACUAAUAAUGUGGGCACAUGUGGAGACAUGUGCUAGGACUAACCCAACACGAGAAGUAGUUCUCUCUUU
rnacentral:lncRNA from 1 species